UACGAAGGGUCCUAGCGUUGUUCGGAAUCAUUGGGCGUAAAGCGAGUGCGGGUGGCUCUUUAAGUCAGAAGUGAAAGCCCAGGGCUCAACCCUGGAAGUGCUUUUGAUACUGGAGAGCUUGAAUGUGGCAGAGGGUGCUAGAAUACCUAGUGUAGUGGUGAAAUACGUAGAUAUUAGGUGGAACACCGGUGGCGAAGGCGGGCACCUGGGCCAACAUUGACACUGAGGCGCGAAAGCCAGGGGAGCAAACGGG
rnacentral:rRNA from 1 species